rnacentral:misc_RNA from 1 species
UGUACACACCGCCCGUCACACCAUGGAAGUUGGCCACGCCCGAAGCCGUUACUCCAACCCUUGUGGAGGAGGAUGUCGAAGGUGGGGCUGAUGACUGGGGUGAAGUCGUAACAAGGUAGCCGUACCGGAAGGUGCGGCUGGAUCACCUCCUAACAGGGAGACAACAACUGAUCGUGAUGUCUGAGUGUUUUAUUCUCAGGCCAUGAUCCUGUCAUCUCGAAGGUCGAUCGGUACCUCAAUUUCAAGCCUUAGAUGAGCAGUUCAUUUGUUGAGCUGAUCAUGCUGAGAGUUUGAUCUUUAGUUCCUAAACGUUGUCUAGGUCACCCCAUAGAGGGUUCACUUCCUGGGCCAUUAGCUCAGGUGGUUAGAGCGCACCCCUGAUAAGGGUGAGGUCCCUGGUUCAAGUCCAGGAUGGCCCAUUCAAACCAUGAUCAACUCCAACGCCUUUAGGUUCAUCCUGUGGGUGUGGGGACGAGACAGGUCUUGGGGGUUUAGCUCAGUUGGUAGAGCGCCUGCUUUGCAAGCAGGAUGUCAGCGGUUCGAGUCCGCUAACCUCCACUAACAUCUGAACUCCAAACCAGGAAGCGAUUCUUGGGAGGUGACUAGACGUUGUUCGCUGAUCGAGUUCAGCCUCAGAUCAUCUCCGAAACUGACCGCAUUGUGGUCAGGACCAAUGGAUUGAUCUGAUGCUGGAUUCAACAGAGAAGGCCGCAAGGCUCUUUUUGUUUGAGUUUCAGCAGAACCUUGACAACUGUAUAGGUGAGUCUGGAAAGACAAAGCAUCUCAUAGAGGCGAGAUGGCAAAAGCUGCAAGGCUUGAGUCAGCUCGUGAUUCUAUUUUUGAGAGCCGAGACCUUCUAGCGUUCUUCCCAAGCCGCCGAGGUGCGGGGAGUCUGAUCCCUGCUUGCGGCAGAGCCGCUUUCGAUUGGGCAACUAAUCAAAAGCAGCAGUGCUGCCAAGCUUGAGAGAAUGGGCCUCAACAGCCUGAAGCGUUAGGAGGGUUAAUUGGUCAAGCUACAAAGGGCUCACGGUGGAUACCUAGGCACACAGAGA